rnacentral:lncRNA from 1 species
GCUGGGGAUUACAGGUCCCCAGCCAGGUCUGGGGCAGCCACAAGCCCUCCCCACUCAGCCCCCACAGCCUUCCAGGUCUUCAAGAAGCUCCUGAUCCUGCCUAGUGAGAGAGGCAUCCAUGUACACACAGCUAGAGGCAGAACCGGCGCCCAGCACGUAACAGGUGCCCAGUAAUGUUUCCUGAAUUGAAGUGAAUUGGCUGAACCAGGGCAAGCAGGAAGGCCUUGCUUCUGACUUCCAGGCUGCACCACUCAGCCUCCCCAUCUUAUGUCUCAAAGACGGAAAAAUUGUGACUCAGAGAGGAAGAGUAACACAGGUGAUCAGUAGAAGGGCUGAAAUCCAACUCAAGUGUCGUAGUUCCCAGUUAGGGACUCUUUCUCUGACUUCCAGUCUACGCCAGCCUAAUAGUGAGAUUGAAGCUAAACACUUGGGUUCUACGUAAUCUUCCUCUCCUUGGAAGGUGCCCCAGAGCUAGGGACCUAGAGGCGGCCUGCAGGGAUCCACCUUCCUGGGCUACUCACCUGCCUGAAGCAUGCAAUUCCAGAUACUGCUUCCAACCAGGGCUCAGCACAUUGUGCUUGAGGUUGGGGUCUAUGAUGAGGUCCCAGCUGUCAGCCGGCUUUGCCUCCUCCAUCUUCUCAUAGAAGACUUUCUUCCACUCAUCUGUGGUCACGCUUUUACACAUGGUCUCGUCAGUAGUGAGGGAAGGCAAUUUCCACCUUAGUGAGAACACGGAGAGUGAGGGUAGGUGCAGGGCAGGGCAGCGCAGUCUCCACGGUCUAAAAAUCCUCAUCGACAAGACCAGGAGGAAGCAGGACCCAGCUCCCUCCUUUGUCCGCAGUGGAACCUGUUUCCACGGCAACCAGGCAGGUUGCCAGAAGACAGAGCUUGGGGAGGAGGGAGUCUCUGAAGAGGUGUUUCAAGGCCCUGAACUGAGAUUGCAGAGGCAGAGUUUGUGGGUCUAAAUGAUCCAAGACAGAGUGGGGGACCUGACCAGAGACUGAGCUUCAGACCAUCUCACCCUGGCCUGGAAAGAGUAUGGGGAGGUGAGGACUGGGAACUGGCUCAGUUUCACCUUGCCGCCCCCUGGAGGCAUCAUCAGCAUCUGGCUGCUAUGGUAACCAUGAUGCCUUAGGCAGCCAAGGAGAAAUGAGGGAUGGGGAGAUGUAAAUUUGUUAGUAGAUGGAGCAAUAAUAAUAAACUCUCUCUCGGCUUCCCCAGCCAUCUUGUGACCAGCACUUUGCCAUUUUCAAAACACAAUUGGAGGUCUCUUAAGUUAUGAUUACUAUUGCUGCAGUACAGAUCAGGAGCCUAGGACUCACCUAGCUUAUAAAUGGCAGAGCCUGUAUACAAAUUCAAGCUGUUGACCCCAGACCGGUUCAUUAAUUCAUUCAUUUCAAACAUAUCCGAGCAUGUGGGUAGGGUUUGCAGACAUGUGCCAAGCUCUAUGUCAGUGCUUGUAGCUGACUGUGUACUGAAUAACUGUGCAAUAGGAUCCAUGCUGCAAUGGCCUUGUGCAAGAACAGCCACCUGUGCACAAAGGUAGGAGCAUUGCAUCAGCCAGGCAGGAGCAGACAAGAUUCUUUCCAAGCUGAUUAUAGAAGCGCAGAAGAGGAGCACCACCCACA